rnacentral:rRNA from 1 species
GAUGAACGCUGGCGGCGUGCCUCAAACAUGCAAGUCGAGCGGGGCUAUGUAAUAUCGCAAGGUAGAACAUAGCCUAGCGGCGAACGGGUGAGUAACACGUGGGUAACCUGCCUGGAAGACAGGGAUAACGAUUCGAAAGGGUCGCUAAUACCUGAUAAAUAUCCUUUCAUCGCAUGGUGAUAGGAAGAAAGGGGAAACCCGCUUUCAGAUGGGCCCGCGUCCCAUCAGCUAGUUGGUAAGGUAAAGGCUUACCAAGGCGACGACGGGUAGCCGGUCUGAGAGGAUGUACGGCCACACUGGGACUGAGAUACGGCCCAGACUCCUACGGGAGGCAGCAGUUGGGAAUCUUAGGCAAUGGACGAAAGUCUGACCUAGCGACGCCGCGUGAGGGAAGAAGGCCUUCGGGUUGUAAACCUCUGUCAUGGGGGAAGAAGGAAGUGACGGUACCCCAAGAGGAAGCCCCUGCUAACUACGUG